rnacentral:rRNA from 1 species
UACAGAGGGUGCGAGCGUUAAUCGGAAUUACUGGGCGUAAAGGGCGCGUAGGCGGUGAUGUAAGUGAGAUGUGAAAUCCCUGGGCUUAACCUAGGAACGGCAUCUCAUACUGCAUAGCUAGAGUAUUGUAGAGGGUAGUGGAAUUUCCGGUGUAGCGGUGAAAUGCGUAGAGAUCGGAAGGAACACCAGUGGCGAAGGCGGCUACCUGGACAAAUACUGACGCUGAUGCGCGAGAGCGUGGGUAGCAAACAGG